UACGGAGGGUGCGAGCGUUGUCCGGAAUCACUGGGCGUAAAGGGCGCGUAGGCGGCUUCUCAAGCGUGUGGUGAAAGUCCGGGGCUCAACCCCGGAUCGGCCGUGCGGACUGGGGAGCUCGAGUUCUGUAGAGGCGGGUGGAAUUCCGGGUGUAGCGGUGGAAUGCGUAGAGAUCCGGAAGAACAUCGGUGGCGAAGGCGGC
rnacentral:rRNA from 1 species